GACGAACGCUGGCGGCGUGCUUAACACAUGCAAGUCGAACGGAAAGGCCCUGCUUUUGUGGGGUGCUCGAGUGGCGAACGGGUGAGUAACACGUGAGUAACCUGCCCUUGACUUUGGGAUAACUUCAGGAAACUGGGGCUAAUACCGGAUAGGAGCUCCUGCUGCAUGGUGGGGGUUGGAAAGUUUCGGCGGUUGGGGAUGGACUCGCGGCUUAUCAGCUUGUUGGUGGGGUAGUGGCUUACCAAGGCUUUGACGGGUAGCCGGCCUGAGAGGGUUACCGGCCACAUUGGGACUGGGAUACGGCCCAGACUCCUACGGGAGGCAGAAGUGGGGAAUAUUGCACAAUGGGCGGAAGCCUGAUGCAGCAACGCCGCGUGCGGGAUGACGGCCUUCGGGUUGUAAACCGCUUUCGCCUGUGACGAAGCGUGAGUGACGGUAAUGGGUAAAGAAGCACCGGCUAACUACGUG
rnacentral:rRNA from 1 species